GUGAAUCAUCGAAUUUUUGAACGCAAAUUGCACUCCCCUCGGAGAGUAUGCCUGUUUGAGGUCCAGCCUAUAAAAAUCGUCAUCGCUGCUGUUUCGCGGUGGUGUUCGUCGGAAAUUGGGCCAUCCUAAAUCCUUUAGAUUUAUGCGACUUAAAAUUUUCUUUUGGUUCCAUGAACGUUUCUAAGAUCUAUUACUUAACACGUUUACGGUAUCGAGUAUUACUAUACGUGACU
rnacentral:misc_RNA from 1 species